rnacentral:lncRNA from 1 species
UCCGGGAACAUUGAUCCGUGGGUGCAGAGGCGGAGGAGGAGCGAUCGUGGGAUGAACUGGGAUCUCCCGUGAUCGCACGGAAUGAAGCUGGGCGCGGUGCGGUUGGGGUGCGCUGGCAGCAACGCGGAUGGGGCAGAGGAGGAGCGAUCUUGGGAGGCUGGAUCAUGGGAACGUUGGAGGUCGCCGCGGGAUUGACGGGAGGAAGCUGGAAAUCGUUUGGAGGCCGCCGCGGGACCACUGGAGAUGCGGACGGUGUGGGCGGACGCUGGGAGGUUGAUCCGGAAGAGCUGGCACGGGAGCUCUCUAUGCGGAGGAGACCAGACGGGAGACACCAAGUUCAAUCAUAUAGAUAAAAAAACAAAUAGUGUGAUGUGAAAUUUG